GAUGAACGCUGGCGGCGUGCCUAAUACAUGCAAGUCGAGCGAAGGGACGAGAAGCUUGCUUUUCGGAUGGUAGCUACGGAGGGUUGAGUAACACCUGGAUAACCUCCCUAUAGGAAUGUGAUUACUUCGUGAAACCAGAGCCGAUACCCUGUAAUAAUUUGAACAUAAUAGCUCAAUAACAAAAGACAGACUGGCCAUCACUCAUAUGUUCAUACGCGCUGCAUUAGCUAAUUUGUAAGGUCAUGGCUUACCAAUGCAACGAUGCAUAGACGACCUGAGAGCGUGAUCGGCCACACUGGAACUGAGACACGGUCGAGACUCCUAAGCGAGGCAGCAGUCGGGAAUCUUACGCAAUGGGCGAAAGCCUGACAGAGCAACGCCGCGUGAGUGAUGAAGGUCUUCGGAUCGUAAAACUCUGUUAUUAGGGAAGAACAUAUGUGUAAGUAAACGGGAACAUAUUGACGGUACCUAAUGAGAAAGCCACGGCUAACUACGUG
rnacentral:rRNA from 1 species